CGGAGCUUGCUCUGUGGGAUCAGUGGCGAACGGGUGAGUAACACGUGAGCAACCUGCCCCUGACUCUGGGAUAAGCGCUGGAAACGGCGUCUAAUACUGGAUACGAACCACGAAGGCAUCUUCAGUGGUUGGAAAGAAUUUCGGUUGGGGAUGGGCUCGCGGCCUAUCAGCUUGUUGGUGAGGUAAUGGCUCACCAAGGCGUCGACGGGUAGCCGGCCUGAGAGGGUGACCGGCCACACUGGGACUGAGACACGGCCCAGACUCCUACGGGAGGCAGCAGUGGGGAAUAUUGCACAAUGGGCGCAAGCCUGAUGCAGCAACGCCGCGUGAGGGAUGACGGCCUUCGGGUUGUAAACCUCUUUUAGCAGGGAAGAAGCGAAAGUGACGGUACCUGCAGAAAAAGCGCCGGCUAACUACGUGCCAGCAGCCGCGGUAAUACGUAGGGCGCAAGCGUUAUCCGGAAUUAUUGGGCGUAAAGAGCUCGUAGGCGGUUUGUCGCGUCUGCUGUGAAAUCCGGAGGCUCAACCUCCGGCCUGCAGUGGGUACGGGCAGACUAGAGUGCGGUAGGGGAGAUUGGAAUU
rnacentral:rRNA from 1 species